rnacentral:rRNA from 1 species
GUGAGGAAUAUUGGUCAAUGGGCGGGAGCCUGAACCAGCCAAGUCGCGUGAGGGAUGACGGCCCUAUGGGUUGUAAACCUCUUUUGCCGGGGAGCAAAGUGCCGCACGUGUGCGGUUUGGAGAGUACCCGGAGAAAAAGCAUCGGCUAACUCCGUGCCAGCAGCCGCGGUAAUACGGAGGAUGCGAGCGUUAUCCGGAUUUAUUGGGUUUAAAGGGUGCGUAGGCGGACGCUUAAGUCAGCGGUAAAAUUGCGGGGCUCAACCUCGUCGAGCCGUUGAAACUGGGUGCCUUGAGUGGGCGAGAAGUACGCGGAAUGCGUGGUGUAGCGGUGAAAUGCAUAGAUAUCACGCAGAACUCCGAUUGCGAAGGCAGCGUACCGGCGCCCAACUGACGCUGAAGCACGAAGGCGUGGGUAUCGAACAGG